rnacentral:misc_RNA from 1 species
CCGUAACUGCGUUUUUGCGAUAUUUCAGCAUUUAGCGUGUUGUUUCUGAUUUUGUGAAAAGUGAUAAAGUUCCUGAUUCGUUAUAUCUGUGGAAUUACAUGAAAUAAACCUGCAGACCAUAAUGGAAAUAUCUACAAUCUUCUACUACAGUAUUUGAGGUGAGUAGGAUUCACAUCAGUGCUUCAGUACUUCUUAACAGUAGCGCCAUUUUGAGUGCAUUAUAUAAGUUUCUUGCUCGCGAGGAAUGUGAACUGUCUCGAGCGUUGUAAAUGAUUGUGUAUUUUUGACAACAGAGUUAUUGAUUGCAACGUGAUUUAUUUUGUUUCUUUCAAAGGUCAGUGAAAUACAUUUGCAAAUUUAUCAAGUUAAUUCUGCAUACUCAAAUGGCGGACGCAGACAUUGAUUUAUAUGCGGAUGAUAUUGAUCAUGACUUUAAUCAGGAGGGUGAUUAUAAUCAUGAUACUAAUGUAGAUCUGUAUGAUGAUGUAAUUACUGCACCAUCUGAUGAUCAUCACAAUGAUGAAGGUAGGCCUUCAUCUGCUGGAAGUUCAUCUCCUCAUCAUUCGAGGCAUGCCGGAAAACGCGUAGCUGUUUAUGUUGGAAAUUUGACGUGGUGGACUACAGAUCAGGAUUUAACUGAAGCAAUGCAGAGCCUUGGGGUUAAUGAUAUCUUAGAAAUAAAGUUCUAUGAAAAUCGAGCAAACGGGCAAUCUAAAGGGUUUUGUGUCGUUGCUUUAGGGUCAGAAAGUUCACUUCGUAUUGUGAUGGAAAAAUUACCGAAGAAGGAGUUACAUGGUCAGAAUCCUGCAGUAACAGCAUGUACGAGACAAAAUCUGAAUUAUUUUGAGCUACAGUCUAGGAAAGGUGGUCAUGGUGGUGGAAAUCGCCAUGAUAAUUCCAAUGAGCGCAGAAGCCGAGAUCGAGAUAGAGAAAGAGAUCGUGAUGGUAGAGAUAAUAGACCUGAUAGUCGUGCUAUGCAACAAGAUAGAUCAAGGAGUCGUAAUAACACAGCCCAGUCUUAUCAGCAGCAGCAGAGAAUGCCACCAGGUCCCCAUAUGCAUCCUCCCCCUCAAGGACCACCUCCACCCCAGUAUCAACCUGGACGAACGCCAUGGAUAUCUGCCCCACCACCCCAAAUUCAUCACAUGCCUCCGCCUCCAACUCGUCCAGGUGCACCUCAUGUUAAUACAGGUGCUCCACCUCCUCCCCCUGGCUUACAAGCACCUCCACCAGUCAGACCAGGUCCUCCACCUCCAAAUAAUAUGAGAUUACCACCUCCAAGAGCACCACUUCCUCCAAUGGGUCCUAGAAGUGUACCUCCUCCUGAUACUCGGGGGCCACCUCCAACGAGUGAGUGGGAAAGACAUUUAACUCAACCUCCUCCACAACAUGUUAGCAUACCUCCGCAACCAGUUGGUCCUCCAAGCAGACCCCCACCACCUGUUCCUGCUCCAGGUCAAGGUAUACCACCUUCACUUCCACCUCCAGCACCGCCAAUACCUAGUCCUCACAUAAAUCCAGCAUUCUUCCAUCAGCAAGGUGUGCCUCCAGGUCUGGCACCUACUUCACAAGCUACCGAGAUUUACAGUCGACCACCUCCUGUGCAGUUUUCUGAUUAUCGUUCAGUAGGUGACAGACCAGAAACUACAUCUACUACAGUUAGUGAUGCUGAAUUUGAAGAAAUUAUGGGCCGUAACAGAACUGUCUCAAGCAGUGCCAUUGCUAGGGCAGUUGCUGAUGCUAGUGCUGGAGACUAUGCAAGUGCUAUUGAAACUUUGGUUACUGCUAUAUCUUUAAUCAAGCAAUCAAAAGUUGCAAAUGAUGAAAGAUGUAAAAUCUUGAUUAGCUCACUUCAGGAUACUCUUCAUGGAAUAGAAUCGAAAUCGUACGGAUCUAGAAGUAAAGAAAGAGCUCGUUCUCGCGAAAGAGAAAGAUCUAGAGAGCGAUCUUCCAGAAGAGAAAAAUCCAGUAGACGUGAUCGCUCUCGCAGUCGUGAUCGUGAAUACAGAGAUAGAAGUCGGGAGAGAGAUCGUUACCAUGAUGAUCGUUAUCGAGACAAAGACCGAGAUCAUGACAGAGAUCGACGCAGCAGCCGACAUUAAAUGUAUGAAUAUUCCAUGUCCGGUUUCAUCAGUAUUUUGAAAAGGUGCAAAAUUUAUCUGGUAACAAUGGCAUCUUUUUCUGGGAUAUCCUGUGCACCUAAGAGAUUAGGAAGCAUUGAAGGUUAUAUGGAAAGAAGAAACGAAAUUAUUUAUCAUGCACCGGUUUGUGAUGUGCCAAAAAGCUGUAUCAUAUUCUUUGGUGGUGAUAUUCAGAAGAAUUUAUAAACAUAAACCAAAAAAUGCCAAUGAAGAUUUUUAUCAGCAAAUGUUGCCGAGGUAGUCGUCAUAGUACGUAAG